UCCCUCCCUUCUCUGUGGGGUGACUGUUUGCGAUUCAGUGCGUGCGUUGUUGUGGGACUGAUAGCGAAUGGAAAUCUUUAGGGACUUGUUGAAGACGAGCCUUUGCAGAAAUGUGAGGUUCUCAAGAAUCUUGAAACAAGCGCGUAACAGGGUAGAAAGGAAAAAUCUGUGUUUAUGAAUUUGAGCCUUCAAUUCAAGAGUUAUUUCCACUUGUGUUCAUGAAUGAACCGUCCAAUAAAAGUCACGUGGUAAGGGCAGUUGCGACGGAAGUGCAGGUGAGAAGCCCGGAAGCAAGGUCCCUACCACACAGCAUGAACAGAGAGAACCCAGAAUGGCAGCUUUGCAACCUGAAGCCCCAGCUUGAACCUGGGCAACAAAAUGGCUGGCUGCCAAGAGGUUAAUUAUCCUAACUUCCUGCAGAGGGAAUCUUCAAUGAACACAGGCUGUAUGACAGAGAUCAGAGAAACACUACUGAGGUGGUGGGCAAGUAAAGGGUUAUAUCAACUCCCAAUGCUCAGCUACAGUUGAACAACUUACGAGAGCCACAUGGGCAAAGGGCAGUGUAAAGGCCGUUGGUCCUCAGAAAAUAUCCAAU
rnacentral:sRNA from 1 species